rnacentral:lncRNA from 1 species
CAUAUUUUAACAAACUUAAAGGUCUAUGGGAUGAAUUAGGAACAAUGUGUGCAAACCAUGGACAAAGAUGCAUUUGUCCUGCCAGAAAUGGCAUCACAUAGGGAGAUGAUGAGAAUAAGGUGUUUCAGUUCCUUAUAGGCCUUAAUGAAGCAUACAUGGGGGUAAGGAGUAACCUACUGAUGAUGCAGCAUCCUCCUACCCUUGACAGUGUCUACAAUAUGGUCCUCAAUGAUGAGAAACAGAGACAAGUCCAGUCCCUUUCUCAAUUUAAUCCAGACUCUAUGUCUUUCAAUGUCCACACAAACAAACAUUCAGCUGGAUUUAAUAAGGUCACAGUGCCUAAUUCUUCUCAUUU